CCUACGGGGGGCAGCAGUGAGGAAUAUUGGUCAAUGGCCGAGAGGCUGAACCAGCCAAGUCGCGUGAGGGAAGACGGCCCUACGGGUUGUAAACCUCUUUUGUCGGGGAGCAAAGCGAGUCACGUGUGACUCAUUGAGAGUACCCGAAGAAAAAGCAUCAGCUAACUCCGUGCCAGCAGCCGCGGUAAUACGGAGGAUGCGAGCGUUAUCCGGAUUUAUUGGGUUUAAAGGGUGCGCAGGCGGAGGUGCAAGUCAGCGGUCAAAUUGCGGGGCUCAACCCCGUACUGCCGUUGAAACUGCAGCCCUUGAGUGCGCGAGAAGUAUGCGGAAUGCGUGGUGUAGCGGUGAAAUGCAUAGAUAUCACGCAGAACUCCGAUUGCGAAGGCAGCAUACCGGCGCGCAACUGACGCUCAUGCACGAAAGCGUGGGUAUCGAACAGGAUUAGAUACCCCAGUAGUC
rnacentral:rRNA from 1 species